CGCUGGCGGCGUGCCUAACACAUGCAAGUCGAACGGAAAUUACAGAAGGAAAGUUUUCGGAUGGAAUUUUGUAAUUUUAGUGGCGGACGGGUGAGUAACACGUGGGUAACCUGCCCUGUACCGGGGGAUAACAGUUGGAAACGGCUGUUAAUACCGCAUAAGCGCACAGUUCCGCAUGGAACAGUGUGAAAAACUCCGGUGGUACAGGAUGGACCCGCGUCUGAUUAGCUUGUUGGCGGGGUAACGGCCCACCAAGGCGACGAUCAGUAGCCGGCCUGAGAGGGUGAACGGCCACAUUGGGACUGAGACACGGCCCAGACUCCUACGGGAGGCAGCAGUGGGGAAUAUUGCACAAUGGAGGAAACUCUGAUGCAGCGACGCCGCGUGAGCGAUGAAGUAUUUCGGUAUGUAAAGCUUCUAUCAGCAGGGAAGAUAAUGACGGUACCUGACUAAGAAGCCCCGGCUAAUUACG
rnacentral:rRNA from 1 species